rnacentral:misc_RNA from 1 species
CGCACAUUGCGCCCACUAGUAUUCUGGUGGGCAUGCCUGUUCGAGCGUCAUUAAGUCCACUCAAGCCCUAUUGCUUGGUAUUGGGAGACUACAGCCUCGCUGUAGCUCCUCAAAGUCAGCGGCGGAGUCGUGUCAUCCUCUGAGCUUAGUAAUUACUACCAGCUUGCGAGCGAGGCGCGUCCCCUGCCGUAAAACCCCCAUCUUUUUAAUGGUUGACCUCGGAUCAGGUAGGAAUACCCGCUGAACUUAA